rnacentral:lncRNA from 1 species
GGAUUUUUGUGUGUGCAUAAUUUUCUUUUUCCCAAAUCACGUUUAAAUCGUGAGAGAGAGAGGUCUAAUGGGGAAAAUGUUGAGGCCGAGUGGUCGAUCCAGUUAGGCAUGUACUCGGGUGGUCCGGCGAGGCUGUCCGGCAAGACGGUUGGUCGGAAGUAAAAAAAGGACCGAAAGGGUUUGUGAUUUAGAUUUAUCUUUUUCUUCUUUUCUCUCUGAUUGACUAAGGUAAGUGCAUUGACGUAGGGUUAGGACCGAAGAAGGUCUAUGACUGGACGGUUCAUGGUCAGGGCCUUUGGGUUUGUUUAGGAUUUGGGUGGUUGGAAUGAUUGAGUGUUGCGUGAUCGAUUCUUGUGGCAUUGAGGCCGUAUGUAUGACCCAUUUUCGGUGCAUUCAUAUAGAUUACCACAAUCGGAUAUAUGCCUAUAGACCCUGAAUAUGGUCGUAUGUUUGGUUGAGGCUAAAGGGCCGAUCGUUUGCAAUAGUUUCUAGGCGAGUGGUCGAGGCAUCCGACAGAUGGGAAGAACUCGCCAAGGAUGUCCCUUGUUAGUGAACCAUGCCUAGCCGACCUAGACCAUGAGGCCAUUGUCGAUUGUAAUCUCUUGGGUCCAUGAGGCUAUCUGCGAUUAAAAGACUUAAGAUAAUGUUCAUGUUAGGAUUAUGUUUGUGGGACUAACCGUGUUUGCGGAAUGAUUCGCCUCACUAAGAAAUGUUUUAUAUUGCUUAUGCCUCGUUGAAUGUGGCAGGUAUUAAGGAUGGUCCUAGUUGAAUCAAGACAGGCGGCCGAUGAGUAUGAGUGGUGUUUGAGUCAUUUAGGUCCAAUAUUGUAUAGCAUCGAUAUAAUUAUACUUAGACUACAAUAUAUAAACUCUAUGAUGAUAUAUAAAAUGUGGUCAUAUGGCUUUCUUUGCUUCCUCGUGUUUGAUUGAGUAGUUAGAGAAUAACGGUUAGAUAAUCA